UACGUAGGGUGCAAGCGUUGUCCGGAAUUAUUGGGCGUAAAGAGCUUGUAGGCGGUUUGUCGCGUCUGCUGUGAAAUUUCGGGGCUCAACCCCGAACUUGCAGUGGGUACGGGCAGACUAGAGUGUGGUAGGGGGAGACUGGAAUUCCUGGUGUAGCGGUGAAAUGCGCAGAUAUCAGGAGGAACACCGGUGGCGAAGGCGGGUCUCUGGGCCGAAAUUGACGCUGAGGAGCGAAAGCGUGGGUAGCGAACAGG
rnacentral:rRNA from 1 species